rnacentral:rRNA from 1 species
AUUGAACGCUGGCGGCAUGCCUUACACAUGCAAGUCGAACGGCAGCACGGGGCAACCUGGUGGCGAGCGGCGAACGGGCGAGUAAUGCAUCGGAACGUACCUUUCAGUGGGGGAUAACGUAGCGAAAGUUACGCUAAUACCGCAUAUUCUGUGAGCAGGAAAGCAGGGGAUCGCAAGACCUUGCGCUGAUCGAGCGGCCGAUGUCAGAUUAGCUAGUUGGUGAGGUAAAGGCUCACCAAGGCGACGAUCUGUAGCGGGUCUGAGAGGAUGAUCCGCCACACUGGAACUGAGACACGGUCCAGACUCCUACGGGAGGCAGCAGUGGGGAAUUUUGGACAAUGGGGGCAACCCUGAUCCAGCCAUGCCGCGUGAGUGAAGAAGGCCUUCGGGUUGUAAAGCUCUUUCGGCCGGGAAGAAAUCGCACGGGCUAAUACCCUGUGUGGAUGACGGUACCGGAAUAAGAAGCACCGGCUAACUACGUGCCAGCAGCCGCGGUAAAAC